GUUUCGAUCAGGCGAAGGGUAAAGACAAGAUAACGUGAUGUCCUUGCUUAUCUGAUGUUUUGGAUGGCUUUUUCGUUAUGUAGAUAAUGAUCUAGUUCCUAGUUUUAUUUCGGGCACCUUUGUGUAUAUUUAGUGUCAUUUAGUGUUUUCUUUUGGGCAUGUAAUAUGUACAUUGUUGCCUCUAGGUGCUUAUGUAUUUCAGUAUCAGUAUUAC
rnacentral:lncRNA from 1 species